AAUACUCAACUCUCCUCAGAUUUCAUCUGUAUGGUGAGCUUGGACUUGGAGGUCUUCUGCUGGCGUUUGCCGGCUCCUCUUGAAAUCAUUAGCCUUGAGUUGAUCUUGAUGGCUUGACCAGUGUGAUAAACAUCUACGCUGAUUCAUGCUGUCCUGAGCGACGACGUCGGAGACGCUCUGGCUUAUAACCGUCCAUCAACGGACGACGCUCUGAAC
rnacentral:misc_RNA from 1 species